UAAACCACAGAAAUUUGCUUCUCAUGGUUGUGGAGGCUGGAAGCCCAAGAUUGGGGUGCUAACAUGGAAUCUAGGUUGACGUACAUUCUACUAUCACUGAGCUGAGUCACCUAGAACCCAGGACCUCUGGGACAACUCAACUAAGGAAGAGAAGUCACGGCGGAGGACACGGGCUCCUGAAUGCUUCAGCUCACUAGUGGUAUAACCUCAUUUUUUCUCUCAGCACCUCUGCCAGAGCUAGUCACGUGGUCUCCAUCUAACCGGCAAAGGAGCCUGGGAAACAUUUGAUUAUCAUCAGUGAACAAUAAAUAUCUAAGUAUCUCUGC